UACGUAGGUGACAAGCGUUGUCCGGAUUUACGUGGGCGUAAAGAGCGCGCAGGCGGUCGAUCAAGUCGAGUGUGAAAGCCCCCGGCUACCAACUGGGGAGGGUCAUUCGAUACUGAUCGACUCGAAGGCAGGAGAGGGUAGUGGAAUUCCCGGUGUAGCGGUGGAAUGCGUAGAUAUCGGGAAGAACACCGGUGGCGAAGGCGGCUCGCUGGGCCAAUGCUGACGCUGAGGCGCGAAAGCGUGGGGAGCAAACAGGG
rnacentral:rRNA from 1 species